AGCGAACGUUAGCGGCGCGCCUAACACAUGCAAGUCGCACGCGAAAGGGAGCAAUCCUGAGUAAAGUGGCGCACGGGUGCGUAACACGUAGAUAACCUGCCCUUCGAAGGGGGAUAACGUUCCGAAAGGAGCGCUAAUACCGCAUACAGCACCUUGGGGUUCGCCUCGGGGUGGCAAAGGCUGGGACCGGCAACGGCCAGUCGUCGAAGGAGGGGUCUGCGGCCCAUCAGCUAGUUGGCGAGGUAAUGGCUCACCAAGGCAAAGACGGGUAGCUGGUCUGAGAGGAUGAUCAGCCACACUGGUACUGGAACACGGACCAGUCUCCUACGGGAGGCAGCAGUGGGGAAUCUUGGUCAAUGGGCGAAAGCCUGAACCAGCGACGCCGCGUGAGUGAUGAAGGCCUUCGGGUUGUAAAGCUCUGUGGGGUGGGACGAAAAACUGGAGUCGAAUAGGCUGCCAAGUUGACGGUACCUCCUUAGCAAGCACCGGCUAACUCUGUGCCAGCAGCCGCAGUAACAC
rnacentral:rRNA from 1 species